rnacentral:rRNA from 1 species
GAUGAACGCUGGCGGCGUGCCUAAUACAUGCAAGUCGAGCGAACAGAUGAGGAGCUUGCUCCUCUGACGUUAGCGGCGGACGGGUGAGUAACACGUGGAUAACCUACCUAUAAGACUGGGAUAACUUCGGGAAACCGGAGCUAAUACCGGAUAAUAUAUUGAACCGCAUGGUUCAAUAGUGAAAGACGGUUUUGCUGUCACUUAUAGAUGGAUCCGCGCCGCAUUAGCUAGUUGGUAAGGUAACGGCUUACCAAGGCAACGAUGCGUAGCCGACCUGAGAGGGUAGGGCGCCCCCCCUGACACAGAGCCCGGCCCCGCCCCCUUCGGGGAGGCGCCAGGCGGCAUUCUUCCCCAAGGGGGGAACCCUGGACGGACCACCCCGGAGGGAUUAAUGAAGGUUUACGGUUCUAAAAAUUUUUUUUUUAGGGAAGAACAAAUUUUUACUAAAAUAUACCCUUCUGGAGGUUCCCUAACCAAAAGCCCAGGGCUAACACGGUG